UUGAACGCUGGCGGUAUGCUUUACACAUGCAAGUCGAACGGGCUAUGGGGCUUGCUCCAUAGUUAGUGGCGAACGGGUGAGUAAUAUAUCGGAACAUAUCCGGAAGUGGGGGAUAACACAUCGAAAGAUGUGCUAAUACCGCAUACGACCUGAGGGUGAAAGCGGGGGAUCGCAAGACCUCGCGCGCCAGGAGCGGCCGAUAUCGGAUUAGCUAGUUGGUGAGGUAAAGGCUCACCAAGGCGACGAUCCGUAGCUGGUCUGAGAGGACGACCAGCCACACUGGAAGUGAGACACGGUCCAGACUCCUACGGGAGGCAGCAGUGGGGAAUUUUGGACAAUGGGGGCAACCCUGAUCCAGCCAUUCCGCGUGAGUGAAGAAGGCCUUCGGGGUGUAAAACUCUUUCGGCAGGAACGAAACGGUGAGCUCUAACAUAGCUUGCUAAUGACGGUACCUGAAGAAGAAGCACCGGCUAACUACGU
rnacentral:rRNA from 1 species